ensembl:lncRNA
UGCGUCUUGUAAAGGGGCAUUUUUCUGGAUCAGACCGGUCUUCAGCAAUUCACAUUUUGGGUAUACAAUGACGGAUUUAAUCGGGAAAAAGACCCAAUUGUGAUGUUUGUGACAUAUAGGAGUGCCAAGAAAGAAGCUCGUCAAAGAUAUCCGUCAUGGAGGUUACUGAGAAGGUGGUGCCCAAAAACGCCCAGCUGCUAUCUCUUGGCCACAAGGACACUUGUCGCCUCUUGGAGGUGUAUGUGAAGCGCAGCAUCAGUUUAAAUGAUGGGACAUGUGAGGACCAGAGGUCACCAACAACGCCUCAGAAGUGGGUGACACUGUCAGAGAAAUGCAGAAGGGUCCGCCGGCAUUCUAGUGACCCCUUGAUCACCUUGGAGCCCAGCACACCUGACGAGGGCAUUGCCAGUAGCACACCACCUGAUGAGGAAGUUGUUAUACCAAAUGUGUCUCUAGUAGAAAUCCCUGGACCUGCUGACAUUCCUGAGAUUGAGACUUCUACUGAACUGGAGAAUAAGUCUAAAAAGGGCAAGAAGAAGAGCAAAAAGACCUCUUUCUGGAAAGGUUUUCUGGGGGUUUUCACGACGAAGGGGAGUGACAAGAAAGACGAGCAGGAGUCUGGCACAGAGAAAGAUGGACAGUCACAAGGAACCUUGCAGAAAAAGAAAUCCAUAAGGCAAAGGAGCUCCAUGAGGAGGUUAUCUCUGAGAAAAAUCAAGAUUGACAGCCACAGAGGGUCUGUGAAGAGACCAUUGGCUUUGGACAGGGCCAAGACCACUGACAUAACUGGAGUUGAAUCGGUUGAGAGUGUGGGGCCUACUGACUCGUACUAUGAGAAAGUUUCAGAAGAGCUGGAGAAGAUUGUGCAUGAGGUGAAAGAGACAGAGGCAGCUCUUACAGAUGAGGAUGUCAUAAAAAGGAUCAUUGUUCUGAUGAAGCAGCAAGGAGACCUCAUUGAUAACAAGCUGAAGGAGAACGCCAGCUUGAGCUCAUUCUUCCAGAAGCUGUCCUACAGCACCUUCCAGCAGUUAGCUGAUACGUACGUGGAGACAGAGACACCUACACGCCAGAGCCACCAGACACCACACACUGCUGGAUCUGGGCCCGUCAACGCCCCGGAGCUGGUCAAGCUGGCCUUCACUCUGGACUUCACAGCCAGGGUGGCCUGUCUCUCCAGGCAUUCCAAAGGCCACAUCAUGGGCCUGGGCCACCGCUACUUAGAAGACCGCUUCACCCAGACACAGGUAACAACACCAGAGGUUAAUCCAGAUCAGACGUUGCAUAACUAUGACGAUCAUAAUCAUUGAUACAAUGUCACAUGCAAAAAAAGACUGCAGGGGAAACCGAGCAUUCUUCAUGGUGUAAAAGCACACGGAGUGCUCCUCGAUUCCUUGUGACACAAAUGGAAUAGAUUACUUAAAGAUGACUGAAAAUGAAACCCAGAGGCAAGUCAUGAAGGGAACAUCACACACAACACGUAUAGUAGGCCUUGUACCUGUAAAUCUACACUAGGGCAAUCUGUGUAAUUACUAUGUUUACAGGUUAGUAAGUAAUGGAAAUGCAAUAUGGAGUUCUUACCACAUUUGGUACACUCUGUAUUUAUUCAUCUAAAUUAUAAAAUAUAAUAUAUGCCAUUUAGCAGGCACUUUUAUCCAGAGCAACUAAUCAUGUGUGCAUACAUUUUACGGGAAUUGAACCCACUAUGCUGGCAUUGCAGACGCCAUGCUCUACCAACCUACUCUACAACCGACCACUAGGGAUAGUAAGUACUAUGUACUGUAACUGCAUUCACUAACUACCCUGGUACAAGGUUAUUCCUCAUUCUUAAUCCUGGUUCUGGGACACAAAGGUGUGCAUAUUUUAGUUUUUGCCCUAGCUCUACACACCUGAUUCCACUAAUCAAAGGUUUGAUGAGUAAUCUAGGUGUGUUAGCUGGGGCUGGGACAAAGCUGCCACCAAUCAGGCCCUCGAGGACUGAGAUGCCUUGUUUUUGGAAAUUAUACUUAGGACCCCUGUACCUUUCACCUGAAAGAAUAAGAAAAUCAAGCUAAUGAACAGAACUUUAUGUAGCAAUAUUUCUAGGAAGUAUAAUACUAACUUAAAAUAUAAAUGUGGUCAUUGUGAUGCACCGAGGUCACAAACUCCAUUUUAGACGAGACUGAUUUUAUGACUAAAAUUACCCUAUUUACACAUUGUAGUCAAUUUUGACACUAGAAUAAAUGUUUGACUCAUAUUGUUGCCACAUAGGCCGUUUUCAAAGUGAUUGGUUGGUUUUUUAGGGUCAGUCGCUCUUUAACAGACAUUCCCUGACAAACAUUUGGGCACAGAGUUUCUAAACCCAGAGGCGCAACAUCGUGAAACUUCUGGGAAUGCUUGCGAUACAGACCAGGCUGGGGUUUGAGAAGUCAAUGAGAGAAGUUAAAAAUCUGAAGGCACAACCCAGAUUCGAGUCAAUGCCUUAAGUAGUUGAACAUGUUAUUACUCCAACCUCGUGAAAGUGACAAACUGACACGUUUUCAUUUGUCAAAAACAACAUAUCGAAGGAGUGCCUUUGAUUUGAUGGCCUGCACUUGCGUAUCUCGGUGUGAGAUGAGCUUUAUAGAGCCGAUGACGUGUUUCUAUGCAUGAGUUUAACCAGCCGACAAGGCGAUCGGGGAUUUCUAUUGGAGAAGCAGUUUUAGCCUGUCCUUGAUUUGGGCUCACCUAUUUAAAAUGGCAGGUAACCUAAUUAACCACAUUCAUUAGCUGGACCAAUAGAAACAUGGAAACAAUUAAAUUCAUGAAUACAAUUUUCUGUAGAGGUUGAGGAUAAGUUAACUUUAGAACUGUUGACUGUUUUUAAGUGAAUUAUUGACUAAAAACACAACUUGCUCUUAAAUGUGAAUAAAUACAUUAAGUAAAUAUGAUAACCUAGAAUGUAUGUAGGUGAGGAUUAGGCCUGCUAUUCAUCUGCCAAGGACAACAUAGCUCAGGAGACAUCCUCUCCUCCUCCAUG